GGAAUGCGAUAAGUAAUGUGAAUUGCAGAAUUCAGUGAAUCAUCGAAUCUUUGAACGCACCUUGCGCUCCUUGGUAUUCCUUGGAGCAUGCCUGUUUGAGUAUCAUGAAAUCUUCAAAGUAAAUCUUUUGUUAACUCAAUUGGUUUCUAAUUUGGUAUUGGAGGUCUUUGCAGCUUCACACCUGCUCCUCUUUGUUCAUUAGCUGGAUCUCAGUGUUAUGCUUGGUUCCACUCGGCGUGAUAAGUUAUCUAUCGCUGAGGACACUGUAAAAGGUGGCCAAGGUAAAUGCAGAUGAACCGCUUCUAAUAGUCCAUUGACUUGGACAAUACUUUUAUGAUCUGAUCUCAAAUCAGGUAGGACUACCCGCUGAACUUAAGC
rnacentral:misc_RNA from 1 species